rnacentral:rRNA from 1 species
UUAAAGAGUUCUAUAACUCCCAAACCCAUGUGAACAUACCUAACGUUGCCUCGGCAGGUCGCACCUACCUUGUAGCACCUUACCCUGUAAGGCCUACCCGGGAGGUGCGGGUAAGCCUGCCGGCGGCCCACCAAACUCUGUUUGAUAUUGAAUUCUGAACCUAUAACUAAAUAAGUUAAAACUUUCAACAACGGAUCUCUUGGUUCUGGCAUCGAUGAAGAACGCAGCGAAAUGCGAUAAGUAAUGUGAAUUGCAGAAUUCAGUGAAUCAUCGAAUCUUUGAACGCAUAUUGCGCCCAUUAGUAUUCUAGUGGGCAGGACCGUUCGAGCGUCAUUUCAACCCUUAAGCCUUCGUUGCUUAGUGUUGGGAGCCUACGGCAACGUAGCUCCUCAAAGUUAGUGGCGGAGUUGGUUCACACUCUAGACGUAGUAAUUUUUUAUCUCGCCUAUUAGUUGAACUAAUACCCUGCCGUAAAACCCCCAAUUUAUCAAGGUUGACCUCGAAUCGGUUCAGACAAACUCGCUAAAUUGAAGCAUCUUAGUCAGCGAAGGAAAAGAAACCAACAGGGAUUGCCCUAGUAACGGCGAGUGAAGCGGCAACAGCUC